GCUAACUACGUGCCAGCAGCCGCGGUAAUACGUAGGGCGCAAGCGUUAUCCGGAAUUAUUGGGCGUAAAGAGCUCGUAGGCGGUUUGUCGCGUCUGCCGUGAAAGUCCGGGGCUCAACCCCGGAUCUGCGGUGGGUACGGGCAGACUAGAGUGAUGUAGGGGAGACUGGAAUUCCUGGUGUAGCGGUGAAAUGCGCAGAUAUCAGGAGGAACACCGAUGGCGAAGGCAGGUCUCUGGGCAUUAACUGACGCUGAGGAGCGAAAGCAUGGGGAGCGAACAGGAUUAGAUACCCUGGUAGUCCAGGCCGUAAACGUUGGGCACUAGGUGUGGGGGACAUUCCACGUUUUCCGCGCCGUAGCUAACGCAUUAAGUGCCCCGCCUGGGGAGUACGGCCGCAAGGCUAAAACUCAAAGGAAUUGACGGGGGCCCGCACAAGCGGCGGAGCAUGCGGAUUAAUUCGAUGCAACGCGAAGAACCUUACCAAGGCUUGACAU
rnacentral:rRNA from 1 species